rnacentral:rRNA from 1 species
CCUACGGGAGGCAGCAGUAGGGAAUAUUGCUCAAUGUGGGAAACCCUGAAGCAGCAACGCCGCGUGGAGGAUGAAGGUUUUCGGAUUGGAAACUCCUUUUGUUAGAGAAGAUAAUGACGGUAUCUAACGAAUAAGCACCGGCUAACUCCGUGACAGCAGCCGCUGUAAUACGGAGGGUGCAAGCGGUACUCGGAAUCACUGGGGGUAAAGAGCGCGUAGGCGGGAUAGCAAGUCAGAUGUGAAAUCCUAUGGCUUAACCAUAGAACUGCAUUUGAAACUGUUAUUCUAGAGUAUGGGAGAGGUAGGUGGAAUUCGUGGUGUAGCGGUAAAAUCCGUAGAGAUCAAGAGGAAUACUCAUUGCGAAGGCGACCUGCUAGAACAUAACUGACGCUGAUGCGCGAAAGCGUGGGGAGCAAACAGGAUUAGAUACCCUUGUAGUC